rnacentral:rRNA from 1 species
GCUCAGAACGAACGCUGGCGGCAGGCUUAACACAUGCAAGUCGAGCGCCCCGCAAGGGGAGCGGCAGACGGGUGAGUAACGCGUGGGAAUCUACCCUUGACUACGGAAUAACGCAGGGAAACUUGUGCUAAUACCGUAUGUGUCCUUCGGGAGAAAGAUUUAUCGGUCAAGGAUGAGCCCGCGUUGGAUUAGCUAGUUGGUGGGGUAAAGGCCUACCAAGGCGACGAUCCAUAGCUGGUCUGAGAGGAUGAUCAGCCACAUUGGGACUGAGACACGGCCCAAACUCCUACGGGAGGCAGCWGUGGGGAAUAUUGGACAAUGGGCGCAAGCCUGAUCCAGCCAUGCCGCGUGAGUGAUGAAGGCCCUAGGGUUGUAAAGCUCUUUCACCGGAGAAGAUAAUGAC